rnacentral:rRNA from 1 species
CGGAGGAAAAGAAACUAACAAGGAUUCCCCUAGUAACGGCGAGUGAAGAGGGAAGAGCCCAAGAUUGGAAGCUGGCGCCUUCGGCGUCCGCAUUGUAAUCUCAAGAAGUGUUUUCCGCUUCGGACCAUGCCUAAGUCCCUUGGAAAAGGGCAUCAUAGAGGGUGAUAAUCCCGUACAUGGCAUGGAGCGCCCGAGGCUUUGUGAUACGCUUUCUAAGAGUCGAGUUGUUUGGGAAUGCAGCUCAAAAUGGGUGGUAAAUGCCAUCUAAGGCUAAAUAUUGGGGAGAGACCGAUAGCGAACAAGUACAGUGAUGGAAAGAUGAAAAGAACUUUGAAAAGAGAGUUAAACAGUACGUGAAAUUGCCAAAAGGGAAGGGUAGGAGGUCAGAGAUGCGUCUUGGGAUUCAGCCUUGCUUUUGCUUGGUGUUUUUCCCAAGUUGCAGGCCAACGUCGGUUUUGGGCACUGGAGAAGGGUGGAAGGAACGUGGCACCUCUCGGGGUGUGUUAUAGCCUUCUACUGGAUACAGCGACCGAGACCGAGGACAGCAGCGUACUCGCAAGAGCGGGCCUUCGGGCACCUUUACGCUUAGGGCGUUGGCAUAAUGGCCCUCUACCACCCGUCUUG